GAUGAAGAACGCAGCGAAAUGCGAUAAGUAAUGCGAAUUGCAGAAUCCGUGAGUCAUCGAAUCUUUGAACGCACAUUGCGCCCUCUGGUAUUCCGGGGGGCAUGCCUGUCCGAGCGUCAUUGCUGCCCUCAAGCACGGCUUGUGUGUUGGGCCUCCGUCCUCCUCCCGGGGGACGGGCCCGAAAGGCAGCGGCGGCACCGCGUCCGGUCCUCGAGCGUAUGGGGCUUCGUCACCCGCUCUUGUAGGCCCGGCCGGCGCUUGCCGACACAUCAAUCUUUUUUCCAGGUUGACCUCGGAUCAGGUAGGGAUACCCGCUGAACUUAAGCAUAUCAAUAAGCGGAGGA
rnacentral:misc_RNA from 1 species